rnacentral:rRNA from 1 species
UGGGGAAUAUUGCACAAUGGGCGAAAGCCUGAUGCAGCGACGCCGCGUGAGGGAUGACGGCCUUCGGGUUGUAAACCUCUUUCAGCAGGGACGAAGCGCAAGUGACGGUACCUGCAGAAGAAGCACCGGCUAACUACGUGCCAGCAGCCGCGGUAAUACGUAGGGUGCAAGAGUUGUCCGGAAUUACUGGGCGUAAAGAGUUCGUAGGCGGUUUGUCGCGUCGUUUGUGAAAACCAGCAGCUCAACUGCUGGCUUGCAGGCGAUACGGGCAGACUUGAGUACUGCAGGGGAGACUGGAAUUCCUGGUGUAGCGGUGAAAUGCGCAGAUAUCAGGAGGAACACCGGUGGCGAAGGCGGGUCUCUGGGCAGUAACUGACGCUGAGGAACGAAAGCGUGGGUAGCGAACAGG